rnacentral:rRNA from 1 species
UACGAAGGGGGCUAGCGUUGUUCGGAUUUACUGGGCGUAAAGCGCACGUAGGCGGAUCGUUAAGUCGGGGGUGAAAUCCUGGAGCUCAACUCCAGAACUGCCUUCGAUACUGGCGAUCUCGAGUCCGGAAGAGGUGAGUGGAACUCCUAGUGUAGAGGUGGAAUUCGUAGAUAUUCGGAGGAACACCAGUGGCGAAGGCGGCUCACUGGCUCGAUACUGACGCUGAGGUGCGAAAGCGUGGGGAGCAAACAGG